rnacentral:rRNA from 1 species
GUAGGUGGCAAGCGUUGUCCGGAAUUGUUGGGCGUAAAGCGCGCGCAGGUGGUUCUUUAAGUCUGAUGUGAAAGCCCCCGGCUCAACCGGGGAGGGUCAUUGGAAACUGGGGAACUUGAGUGCAGGAGAGGAAAGUGGAAUUCCACGUGUAGCGGUGAAAUGCGUAGAUAUGUGGAGGAACACCAGUGGCGAAGGCGACUUUCUGGCCUGUAACUGACACUGAGGCGCGAAAGCGUGGGGAGCAAACAGGGAUUAGAUACCCUGGUAGUCCACGCCGUAAACGAUGAGUGCUAAGUGUUGGGGGGGUUUCCCGCCCCGUCAGUGCUGCAGCUAACGCAUUAAGCACUCCGCCUGGGGAGUACGGUCGCAAGACUG